rnacentral:rRNA from 1 species
UUACGGUACCGUCAUUAGCCCUCUUUAUUAGAAAAGGCCGUUUCGUUCCGUACAAAAGCAGUUUACAACCCGAAGGCCUUCAUCCUGCACGCGGCAUGGCUGGAUCAGGCUUGCGCCCAUUGUCCAAAAUUCCCCACUGCUGCCUCCCGUAGGAA